rnacentral:rRNA from 1 species
GACGAACGCUGGCGGCGUGCUUAACACGUGCAAGUCGAACGGAAAGGCCCUGCUUUUGUGGGGUGCUCGAGUGGCGAACGGGUGAGUAACACGUGAGUAACCUGCCCUUGACUUUGGGAUAACUUCAGGAAACUGGGGCUAAUACCGGAUAGGAGCUCCUGCUGCAUGGUGGGGGUUGGAAAGUUUCGGCGGUUGGGGAUGGACUCGCGGCUUAUCAGCUUGUUGGUGGGGUAGUGGCUUACCAAGGCUUUGACGGGUAGCCGGCCUGAGAGGGUGACCGGCCACAUUGGGACUGAGAUACGGCGCAGACUCCUACGGGAGGCAGCAGUGGGGAAUAUUGCACAAUGGGCGGAAGCCUGAUGCAGAAACGCCGCGUGCGGGAUGACGGCCUUCGGGUUGUAAACCGCUUUCGCCUGUGACGAAGCGUGAGUGACGGUAAUGGGUAAAGAAGCACCGGCUAACUACGUG